rnacentral:tRNA from 1 species
GCCUCUUUAACACAACGGUUAGUGUGUCUGCCCUCCAAGCAGAAGAUGUCAGUUCGAUCCUGAUAAGAGGCU